rnacentral:rRNA from 1 species
CCUACGGGUGGCAGCAGUGAGGAAUAUUGGUCAAUGGUCGGGAGACUGAACCAGCCAAGCCGCGUGAGGGAUGAAGGUACUGAGAAUCGUAAACCUCUUUUGUCAGGGAACAAAGGCGGGGACGUGUCCCCGGAUGAGUGUACCUGAAGAAUAAGCAUCGGCUAACUCCGUGCAAGCAGCCGCGGUAAUACGGAGGAUGCGAGCGUUAUCCGGAUUUAUUGGGUUUAAAGGGUGCGCAGGCGGUCUGUUAAGUCAGCGGUAAAAGCCCGGGGCUCAACCCCGGCCCGCCGUUGAAACUGGCAGUCUCGAGUUGGAGAGAGGUAAGCGGAAUGCGAGGUGUAGCGGUGAAAUGCAUAGAUAUCGCGCAGAACACCGAUUGCGAAGGCAGCAUGCCGGCUCCACACUGACGCUGAGGCACGAAAGCGUGGGUAUCGAACAGGAUUAGAUACCCUUGUAGUC